UGAAUACGAGAUGCUACGGCGUCGAAGCAGUCUAUGUCAUACUUCCAAGAAAAGCUUGCACUGUCAUAAACAAAUAAUGCCUGUACCAUAACCGACACAGGUGGGUAGGUAGAGUAUACUAAGGGGCGCGAGAUAACUCUCUCUAAGGAACUCGGCAAAAUGACUCCGUAACUUCGGGAGAAGGAGUGCCUUAUUUUAUAAGGUUGCAAUAACAAGAUCCAAGCAACUGUUUACCAAAAACACAGGUCUCCGCUAAGUCGUAAGACGAUGUAUGGGGGCUGACGCCUGCCCAGUGCCAGAAGGUUAAAGAAGUUGGUUAGCAUCCGCGAAGCUGAUAACUGAAGCCCUGGUGAACGGCGGCCGUAACAAUAACGGUCCUAAGGUAGCGAAAUUCCUUGUCGGGUAAGUUCCGACCCGCACGAAAGGCGUAAUGAUUUGGAUACUGUCUCAGAGAGGGGCUCGGUGAAAUAGACUUGUCUGUGAAGAUGCGGACUACCUGCACCAGGACAGAAAGACCCUAUGAAGCUUUACUGUAACUUGAAAUUGAAAUUGGACUUUACUUGCGCAGUAUAGGUGGGAGGCGUUGAGAAUAUUCUUGCGGGAAUGUUGGAGCCAUCAGUGAGAUACCACUCUUGUAAUGUUAGAUUUCUAACUUUGUAUCAUUAUCUGGUCAAAGGACAGUUUCAGGCGGGCAGUUUGACUGGGGCGGUCGCCUCCCAAACGGUAACGGAGGCGCACAAAGGUUUCCUCUGAACGGGUAGAAAUCGUAUCUAGAGUGUAAAGGCAUAAGGAAGCUUGACUGUGAGACCUACAAGUCGAGCAGGGACGAAAGUCGGUCUUAGUGAUCUGACGGUGCUGAGUGGAAAGGCCGUCACUCAACGGAUAAAAGUUACUCUAAGGAUAACAGGCUGAUCUCCCCCAAGAGUUCACAUCGACGGGGAGGUUUGGCACCUCGAUGUCGGCUCAUCGCAUCCUGGGGCGGUAGUACGUCCCAAGGGUUGGGCUGUUCGCCCAUGAAAGCGGUACGCGAGCUGGGUUCAGAACGUCGUGAGACAGUUCGGUCCAUAUCCGGUGUAGGCGUUAGAAUAUUGAGAGGAGCCUUCUUUAGUACGAGAGGACCGAGAAGGACAUACCUCUGGUGUACCAGUUAUCGUGCCAACGGUAAACGCUGGGUAGCUAUGUAUGGAGUGGAUAACCGCUGAAAGCAUCUAAGUGGGAAGCCCACCUCAAGAUAAG
rnacentral:rRNA from 1 species